AACGAACGCUGGCGGCGUGCCUAACACAUGCAAGUCGAACGGGAAAACCCGCAAGGGUGAGUACAGUGGCGCACGGGUGCGUAACACGUGGGUAAUCUGCCCAGAAGCCCGGAAUAACUCCCCGAAAGGGGUGCUAAUGCCGGAUGAGACCACGGGGACUUCGGUUCCUGGGGGAAAAGGUGGCCUCUGUAUACACGCUAUCACUUCUUGAUGAGCCCGCGGCCCAUCAGCUAGUUGGCGGGGUAAUGGCCCACCAAGGCUACGACGAGUAGCUGGUCUGAGAGGACGAUCAGCCACACUGGAACUGAGACACGGUCCAGACUCCUACGGGAGGCAGCAGUGGGGAAUCUUGCGCAAUGGGCGAAAGCCUGACGCAGCAACGCCGCGUGUGUGAUGAAGGUCUUCGGAUCGUAAAGCACUGUCGGGAGGGACGAAUAAGGGCCGGGUGAACAAUCCGGUUCGACGACGGUACCUCCAGAGGAAGCACCGGCUAACUCUGUGCCAGCCGCCGCCGUAACAC
rnacentral:rRNA from 1 species